ACUCUGCAGAGCUCCUAACCUAAUUGGUCUCUCCUAACUUGGGAAGAUGGGGCAGGAAGGCAACGCUCUGAGCCAAUCCAGAGGGGCGAGCAAAGCACCCGUCCUGAAGGCCUAGAGGGUGCCCCCUGUGCCCCGCGGCUCCCCAGCACCUGCUUCUCGUUUCACAUCUUCAAGUUUGACUGCCCUGACACUGCCAUACUGUAAGGAAGCUUAAAACAGCUCAUAUGGAGAAACCACAUGGAGAAGACCUGAGACUUCAGAGAAAGAGAGAUAGAUGCUUUGCCAGCUGCAUGCUAAUCCAGUUUCAAUCAUUGUUUGGCUGCAACAGCAUGAGAGAUCCCAAACUAGAACUACCCAGCUGAGCCCUUCCCAAAUUCUUCAGCCACAGAAAGUAUGAGAGACAGUAAAAUCAGUGUUUUUAUUUUAA
rnacentral:lncRNA from 1 species